AGAGUUUGAUCCUGGCUCAGGAUGAACGCUGGCGGCAUGCCUAAUACAUGCAAGUCGAACGAGAGGAAGGAAAGCUUGCUUUUCUGAAUCUAGUGGCGAACGGGUGAGUAACACGUAGGUAACCUGCCCAUGUGCCCGGGAUAACUUCUGGAAACGGAUGCUAAAACCGGAUAGGUAGCAGACAAGCAUUUGACUGCUAUUAAAGUGGCUAUGGCCAUGAACAUGGAUGGACCUGCGGUGCAUUAGCUGGUUGGUGAGGUAACGGCCCACCAAGGCGACGAUGCAUAGCCGGCCUGAGAGGGCGGACGGCCACAUUGGGACUGAGACACGGCCCAAACUCCUACGGGAGGCAGCAGUAGGGAAUUUUCGUCAAUGGGGGGAACCCUGAACGAGCAAUGCCGCGUGAGUGAGGAAGGUCUUCGGAUCGUAAAGCUCUGUUGUAAGAGAAAAACGGCACUCAUAGGGAAUGAUGAGUGAGUGAUGGUAUCUUACCAGAAAGUCACGGCUAACUACGUGCCAGCAGCCGCGGUAAUACGUAGGUGGCGAGCGUUAUCCGGAAUGAUUGGGCGUAAAGGGUGCGUAGGUGGCAGAUCAAGUCUGGAGUAAAAGGUAUGGGCUCAACCCGUACUGGCUCUGGAAACUGAUCAGCUAGAGAACAGAAGAGGACGGCGGAACUCCAUGUGUAGCGGUAAAAUGCGUAGAUAUAUGGAAGAACACCGGUGGCGAAGGCGGCCGUCUGGUCUGGAUUCUGACACUGAAGCACGAAAGCGUGGGGAGCAAAUAGGAUUAGAUACCCUAGUAGUCCACGCCGUAAACGAUGAGAACUAGGUGUUGGGGGAAUAACUCAGUGCCGCAGUUAACGCAGUAAGUUCUCCGCCUGGGGAGUAUGCACGCAAGUGUGAAACUCAAAGGAAUUGACGGGGGCCCGCACAAGCGGUGGAGUAUGUGGUUUAA
rnacentral:rRNA from 1 species